rnacentral:rRNA from 1 species
AAUGGUGGAUGCCUUGACUGGUAAAGGCGAUGAAGGACGUACUAGACUGCGAUAAGCUACGGGGAGCUGUCAAGAAGCUUUGAUCCGUAGAUUUCCGAAUGGGGCAACCCAAUGUAUAGAGAUAUGCAUUACCUAUAUAGGAGCGAACGAGGGGAAUUGAAACAUCUUAGUACCCUCAGGAAAAGAAAUCAAUAGAGAUUGCGUCAGUAGCGGCGAGCGAAAGCGCAAGAGGGCAAACCCAGUGCUUGCACUGGGGGUUGUAGGACUGCAAUGUGCAAGAGCUGAGUUUAGCAGAACAUUCUGGAAAGUAUA